rnacentral:ncRNA from 18 species
AUUCAUAGUUUGAGAGUCGGUAAUUCGAUCACACGUCGAAUUUUAAAUGGGAAGACCGGUGAAAAUCCGGCGCGGUCCCGCCACUGUGAGUGAGGAGAGCUUUUCUAAUGAAUCCACUGUCAUCAGGACGGGAAGGAUGAAAAGCUUGCAGAUUCACCAGCCAGGAUACCAGCCGCUCUAUCACAUCAAACC